GACGUAGGAGGCGAGCGUUGUCCGGAUUCAUUGGGCGUAAAGAGCACGCAGGCGGUUUGGCAAGUCGGAUGUGAAACCGAACGCUACAUCAUCGGUCCGCUGCAUCCGAAACUGCCCGACUAGAGGUAGGUAGGGGAGGAUCGGAAUUCCUGGUGUAGCGGUGAAAUGCGCAGAUAUCAGGAGGAACACCGGUGGCGAAGGCGGAUCUCUGGGCCUUACCUGACGCUCAGGUGCGAAAGCUAGGGGAGCGAACAGG
rnacentral:rRNA from 1 species